UGCUUGCUUGCUGAUAGCUUCUAUCUUUG
rnacentral:piRNA from 1 species